rnacentral:rRNA from 1 species
CCUACGGGAGGCAGCAGUGGGGAAUAUUGGACAAUGGGGGCAACCCUGAUCCAGCCAUGCCGCGUGUGUGAAGAAGGCCCUCGGGUUGUAAAGCACUUUCAGUGAGGAAGAACGCCUGGUGGUUAAUACCCAUCAGGAAAGACAUCACUCACAGAAGAAGCACCGGCUAACUCCGUGCCAGCAGCCGCGGUAAUACGGAGGGUGCGAGCGUUAAUCGGAAUUACUGGGCGUAAAGCGCGCGUAGGUGGCUUGAUAAGCCGGUUGUGAAAGCCCCGGGCUCAACCUGGGAACGGCAUCCGGAACUGUCAAGCUAGAGUGCAGGAGAGGAAGGUAGAAUUCCCGGUGUAGCGGUGAAAUGCGUAGAGAUUGGGAGGAAUACCAGUGGCGAAGGCGGCCUUCUGGACUGACACUGACACUGAGGUGCGAAAGCGUGGGUAGCAAACAGGAUUAGAUACCCGAGUAGUC